UCUUGGUCAUUUAGAGGAAGUAAAAGUCGUAACAAGGUCUCCGUUGGUGAACCAGCGGAGGGAUCAUUACCGAGUUUACAACUCCCAAACCCCUGUGAACAUACCUAUACGUUGCCUCGGCGGAUCAGCCCGCGCCCUGUAAAAAGGGACGGCCCGCCCGAGGACCCUAAACUCUGUUUUUAGUGGAACUUCUGAGUAAAACAAACAAAUAAAUCAAAACUUUCAACAACGGAUCUCUUGGUUCUGGCAUCGAUGAAGAACGCAGCAAAAUGCGAUAAGUAAUGUGAAUUGCAGAAUUCAGUGAAUCAUCGAAUCUUGAACGCACAUUGCGCCCGCCAGUAUUCUGGCGGGCAUGCCUGUUCGAGCGUCAUUUCAACCCUCAAGCUCAGCUUGGUGUUGGGACUCGCGGUAACCCGCGUUCCCCAAAUCGAUUGGCGGUUACGUCGAGCUUCCAUAGCGUAGUAAUCAUACACCUCGUUACUGGUAAUCGUCGCGGCCACGCCGUAAAACCCCAACUUCUGAAUGUUGACCUCGGAUCAGGUAGGAAUACCCGCUGAACUUAAGCAUAUCAAUAAGCGGAGGA
rnacentral:rRNA from 1 species